AUUGAACGCUGGCGGCAUGGUUUACACAUGCAAGUCGAACGGCAGCGGGGAGGAGCUUGCUUCUCUGCCGGCGAGUGGCGAACGGGUGAGUAAUACAUCGGAACGUGUCGAGAAGAGGGGGAUAACCACCCGAAAGGGUGGCUAAUACCGCAUAAAUUCUGAGGAAGAAAGCUGGGGACCUAGGAAUAGGCCUAGCGCUUUUUGAGCGGCCGAUGUCGGAUUAGCUAGUUGGUGAGGUAAAGGCUCACCAAGGCGAAGAUCUGUAGCGGGUCUGAGAGGAUGAUCCGCCACACUGGGACUGAGACACGGCCCAGACUCCUACGGGAGGCAGCAGUGGGGAAUUUUGGACAAUGGGGGCAACCCUGAUCCAGCCAUGCCGCGUGUAUGAAGAAGGCCUUAGGGUUGUAAAGUACUUUUGUUAGGGAAGAAAAGUCAGCUGUGAAUAAUGGCUGAUACUGACGGUACCUAAAGAAUAAGCACCGGCUAACUACGUG
rnacentral:rRNA from 1 species